rnacentral:lncRNA from 1 species
UUAAAAACUAUAAAACAUGGUUCGUCAGUGCCAAAUUUGUAAGAAAUUGGACUAUUUAAGUCCUGGAACAACAUUCCACAGAUUAUGCUGCCAAAGUUUCCUGAAUACAAUUCCGACCACUCUGUAUAUCAAGAUAUCCCCCAUUACGUACUAGUUUUUCUUAAUAAUUUUCUAUACAUUUUCCAACGCCAAGAUGUACCAAGCGCAUACAAAUACAUCAAGCUUCAAACAAGCUUGCACGUUGACAGUAAUACCUACAGUAAUAUUGUAUUAUAUUAAUGUAAUAUUUUUGAACCAAUGUUCAAUAUUACUGUAGUAAUACUGUUUAUACUCAUGCCUUUUAUAUUUGUUUGAAUUUGGUGCAUAUUUCCAUUGAAUAAAGUAUAGUCACCAUUACCAUUAUUAUACUUACUCUAUAAUAAAGACAGUAACGAGUUAAA